rnacentral:rRNA from 1 species
CCUACGGGGUGCAGCAGUAGGGAAUUUUCGGCAAUGGGGGGAACCCUGACCGAGCAACGCCGCGUGAACGAAGAAGUUAUUCGUAAUGUAAAGUUCUUUUAACAGGGAAGAAAGAGAAAUUUGACGGUACCUGAAGAAUAAGCUCCGGCUAACUACGUACCAGCAGCCGCGGUAAUACGUGGGGAGCGAGCGUUAUCGGGAAUUUUUGGGGGUAAAGGGUCAGUAGAUGGCAUAGUAAGUCUUUUGUAAAGAUGCUGGGCUAAACCCAGUAGGGCAAAAGAUACUGCAAAGCUAGAGUAUGACAGAGGCAAGUGGAACUACAUGUGUAGCGGUAAAAUGCGUAAAUAUAUGUAAGAACACCAGUGGCGAAGGCGGCUUGCUGGGUCGAUACUGACAUUGAGGCAUGAAAGCGUGGGGAGCAAACAGGAUUAGAUACCCUUGUAGUC